rnacentral:tRNA from 2 species
GCCGAGGUGGCGGAACUGGCAGACGCGCACGCUUCAGAAGCGUGUUCUGGCAACGGAGUGUGGGUUCAACUCCCACCCUCGGCA